rnacentral:rRNA from 1 species
ACAGACGAGUUUGAUCCUGGCUCAGAGUGAACGCUGGCGGCAGGCCUAACACAUGCAAGUCGAACGGCAGCACGGCAGUAGCAAUACUGUGGGUGGCGAGUGGCGGACGGGUGAGGAAUACAUCGGGAUCUACCCUGUUGUGGGGGAUAACGUAGGGAAACUUACGCUAAUACCGCAUAAGAACUGAGGUUGAAAGCGGCGGACCGCAAGGCGUCGCGCGAUUGGAUGAACCGAUGUCCGAUUAGCUAGUUGGCGGGGUAAAGGCCCACCAAGGCGACGAUCGGUAGCUGGUCUGAGAGGACGACCAGCCACACUGGAACUGAGACACGGUCCAGACUCCUACGGGAGGCAGCAGUGGGGAAUAUUGGACAAUGGGCGCAAGCCUGAUCCAGCCAUGCCGCGUGGGUGAAGAAGGCCUUCGGGUUGUAAAGCCCUUUUGUCCGGAAAGAAAAGCAUUCGGUUAAUACCCGGGUGUUCUGACGGUACCGGAAGAAUAAGCACCGGCUAACUUCGUG